rnacentral:rRNA from 1 species
UACGUAGGGGGCGAGCGUUGUCCGGAUUCAUUGGGCGUAAAGAGCUCGUAGGCGGUUUGGUAAGUCGGGUGUGAAAACCCCAGGCUCAACCUGGGGACGCCACCUGAUACUGCUAUGACUUGAGUCUGGUAGGGGAUCACGGAAUUCCUGGUGUAGCGGUGAAAUGCGCAGAUAUCAGGUGGAACACCGGUGGCGAAGGCGGUGAUCUGGGCCGACACUGACACUGAAUCGCGAAAGCGUGGGGAGCGAACAGG